rnacentral:lncRNA from 1 species
CUAAACGUUCCUGAUCAUAGGAUUGCCAAUUGGGCAUUGACAGUCCGUUAAGAUCAGUACGUGCUGUGUCUUAUCUCAGGAAGAGUGACUAGUCUCGAGUCAUUGGUGUGUAUGACAUCAAGACAAGUACAUAGGUGCUCAAUGGAGAAUGAGUUCACUGAACACGAUCAACAAAGAGUUCUCAUACUCAUGUCACAUGAGAACUCAUGGUUGGGAUAAUGCAAAGUAGUCCUUUGACCUGAGGCAUCAUAGUUGUCUUGUGGUUAGGUCCUUGAUCUUUGAUUAUGUCAAAGUCACCCCAUCCGCGGUUGUCCACGGCAUCAUCAGGGUUAAGCCACUUAACCAUGGAGGCAAGUGAAUGCGCAACAAGGGAUCUCUAACCUUCAAACCGUUUGGGGGAGAAUACUCUAUGAUAUGAUUAAGAAUCUCUGGCCAGAGUAUGAAUGAGAUUUAGGAAGUCGUUCCAAAUCACAUUCAAGGUAAUUAUAUAAGCACACGAAUCACAUUGGAUAGUAGACAUGAAUAAACUAUCAAACCAAACAAUGUGGUCAACAAUAUUGUAUUAGAGAAAGACCGUAUUGCAUUUGUAAUCCUAAACUGAAUAGGUUCUCCACCUCUU